UACGUAGGGUGCAAGCGUUUGUCCGGAAUUAUUGGGCGUAAAGAGCUCGUAGGCGGUCUGUUGCGUCGGCUGUGAAAACCCGGGGCUCAACUCCGGGCCUGCAGCCGAUACGGGCAGACUAGAGUUCGGCAGGGGAGACUGGAAUUCCUGGUGUAGCGGUGAAAUGCGCAGAUAUCAGGAGGAACACCGGUGGCGAAGGCGGGUCUCUGGGCCGAUACUGACGCUGAGGAGCGAACGCAUGGGGAGCGAACAGG
rnacentral:rRNA from 1 species